rnacentral:rRNA from 1 species
CAGNUGAACGGACAGACAGAAGAGCUUGCUCUCUUGAAGUUAGUGGCGAACGGGUGAGUAACGCGUAAUCAACCUGCCCNUUCAGAGGGGGAUAACAACGGGAAACCGUUGCUAAUACCGCGUACGAUUCACAGGCGGCAUCGCUUGUGAAUGAAAGGUGGCCUCUAUAUAUAAGCUAUCGCUGAAGGAGGGGAUUGCGUCUGAUUAGCUAGUUGGAGGGGUAACGGCCCACCAAGGCAAUGAUCAGUAGCCGGUCUGAGAGGAUGAACGGCCACAUUGGGACUGAGACACGGCCCAAACUCCUACGGGAGGCAGCAGUGGGGAAUCUUCCGCAAUGGACGAAAGUCUGACGGAGCAACGCCGCGUGAGUGAUGAAGGUCUUCGGAUUGUAAAGCUCUGUUAAUCGGGACGAAAGAGUUCUGUGUAAAUAAUGCAGAAAAGUGACGGUACCGGAAUAGAAAGCCACGGCUAACUACGUGCCAGCAGCCGCGGUAAUACGUAGGUGGCAAGCGUUGUCCGGAAUUAUUGGGCGUAAAGCGCGCGCAGGCGGCCUAUCCAGUCUGUCUUAAAAGUUCGGGGCUCAACCCCGUGAUGGGAUGGAAACUAGUAGGCUAGAGUAUCGGAGAGGAAAGCGGAAUUCCUAGUGUAGCGGUGAAAUGCGUAGAUAU